GGUGUUUCUCAGGUGACACACCCCAGAAUUAGGCUCCCUCCUCUUUGGUUCUGGGUGUGUCACCUGAGAACUACA
rfam:Myotis brandtii contig188999, whole genome shotgun sequence.